rnacentral:rRNA from 1 species
CAGUAGCCACGGGAACACGUAGGGGGCAAGCGUUGUCCGGAAUUAUUGGGCGUAAAGCGCGCGCAGGCGGUUCUUUAAGUCUGGUGUAUAAGUGCGGGGCUCAACCCCGUGAGGCACUGGAAACUGGGGAACUUGAGUGCAGAAGAGGAGAGCGGAAUUCCACGUGUAGCGGUGAAAUGCGUAGAGAUGUGGAGGAACACCAGUGGCGAAGGCGGCUCUCUGGACUGUAACUGACGCUGAGGCGCGAAAGCGUGGGGAGCAAACAGGAUUAGAUACCCCCGUAGUCCCUGUCUCUUAUACC